GUCAGGAUGGCCGAGCAGUCUAUGGCGCUGCGUUCAGGUCGCAGUCUCCUCUGGAGGCGUGGGUUCGAAUCCCACUUCUGACA
rnacentral:tRNA from 1 species